GCUCGGGGGCGCGCACGCUCUGCGUGCCAGGCGUUCGGGACUGUACCUGGCGCGGCCCGAAGGCCUGCAGUUUGGCCUGCUAUGUUCGUCUCCGCGGCGCUCCGGGCCCGUGCGGCCGGCUUCGCCGCCCAGUGGGGAAGACAUGUAAGGAAUUUGCAUAAGACAGCUGUGCAGAAUGGAGUUGGAGGAACCUUAUUUGUGCACAGAGAUACUCCUGAGAAUAACCCAGAUACUCCAUUUGAUUUCACACCGGAAAACUAUAAGAGGAUAGAGGCAAUUGUAAAAAACUACCCAGAAGGGCAUAAAGCAGCAGCUGUGCUUCCAGUCCUGGAUUUAGCCCAAAGACAGAAUGGAUGGCUGCCCAUCUCUGCUAUGAACAAGGUUGCAGAAGUUUUACAAGUACCUCCAAUGAGAGUAUAUGAAGUAGCAACUUUUUAUACAAUGUAUAAUCGAAAGCCAGUUGGAAAGUAUCAUGUUCAAGUCUGCACUACUACGCCUUGCAUGCUUCGUAACUCCGACAGCAUACUGGAGGCCAUUCAGAAAAAGCUUGGAAUAAAGGUUGGAGAGACUACACCUGACAAACUUUUCACUCUUAUAGAAGUGGAAUGUUUAGGGGCCUGUGUAAACGCACCGAUGGUUCAAAUAAAUGACAACUACUAUGAGGAUCUGACACCUAAGGAUAUUGAAGAAAUUAUUGAUAAACUCAAGGCUGGCAAAAUCCCAAAACCUGGGCCAAGGGCUCUAAAAAUAGACUUAUAAGAUUGAUAGAAUGUGAAGGGCAAAGCCGGAGGGAAUAAAAUGAUUUAAUUGAAUAAGUUCUUCAGCUGAAAUCUGUGGCAGGAACAAGGAGUGGACGCUUCUCAUGUGAGCCAGCUGGAGGUCUUACCUCUUUGACUGAACCACCUAAAGGACCUGGCUUUGGUGUGCAAGCAGGCCUUUAAUUUAUAUUCAAAUGUAAAUAUGUCACUGGAGAAAUAAAAUACGAAUCUCCUAUCUA